rnacentral:SRP_RNA from 1 species
UGCAGCCGGGGAGAUAGCGGUGCCCUGUACCUGCAAUCCGCUACAGCAGGGGUGAUGUUUCAGCCGAGGGUCUUGAUUUGUAGAGCAGCCCGCUGUAAGUAGCGUUGACGUUUGGGUCUCGCGCAACGGGAACCAGUGAACCGUGUCAGGUCAGGAAUGGAGCAGCACUAAGCUGGACCUUCCGUGUGCCGUGAGGGUGCCUGGGCUGAGCCAACUGCAGCGGUAACGUUUAUGGGUCGGAUUCGAA